GCAUGGAUGAUUCGCUAGAAUAGAAACGAGUACCCUAAGAAAAACGCAUAAGCAGCCUAGCGCAAAGGGAGCAGGGGUCUCAGCACUAGCGACCCGUAGGUCGCAGGUCUGGCUCGGCGGCGCCCUCCCUGGGGUCGCCGGGGACAUUGGAUCCUUUCUACUCAAGGCAGGAAGGGCGCCGUUCCCAGCCGCAGAGCGCAGCGCGCUCACGGGGUGGGGCCGCCGGGUGGGCCCCAGCAUCCAGCAGCCGCAGCUCCGGGCACUGGGGCUUCACUGCAGCUAUUGCGCAGACUCUGCGUUCCACGCAGGCUUAUUAGGAAGAAAGAGGGCAAAACUGCCCGGAGGCACGUGAACGCGUAGGGACCAACCGGGCCUCCGCGCCCCGCCGCAUCCCAGUCCCGAAUUUACGAUCACGAAAGUUCGACCGCCCGCGGAUUGGCUCUCGGGCCGCAUGACGUCAUAGCGCUUGAUCCCUGCUCGCAGCCGGGAUUGGCUGGCCGCGGCACUGUGACGUCACGGUCAGCCCACGCUCCGGCUGUGGACAGCGGCGCCUUCCUCUUACCCGCGGCCGGCGCUCCUCUCGCUUCGCAUCCUCGUCGGCUCCAGCUGGCCGCGGGAGUCCCGCCGCCGCUGCCGCCGCUGCGCUGUCCUCGGAGCCGCUGCUACCUCGGAGGAGGACAUAUACUUCUCCUCCCCUGUAAAUCUGUACCCCUGACCUUAAGGUGCUUCUCCACCGUCAGUGAAGAACCGCUGGUGAGGAGAGGAGAGUCCUGGUCCUGUCAAGCUCACCUAGCCAGGGACUGGCAGAGCCAGAAGUUUUAAAAUGGAAAAUUUCGAUGCGUCGCUCAGUACCUAUUUCAGGGCCUGGCUAGGCCCCCGAGGUGAGGCGCUCUCUGGUUUUGCUCUGUCCACAGCUCUCUGCCUGAUGCUAGAGCCACUUGGGAAUACUGCUCGAGGCUUCCAGAAGGUGUUCUUGCUUUCUGUGACCAGACAGACCUCGC
rnacentral:lncRNA from 1 species